GGUCGUCUGGCUCAGUGGUCAAGAGUCUGGCUGUCCUUUCUCGUAAGGAAGAGGGUUCGAAUCCCUCGACGACCA
rfam:Eutypa lata TCREL1 unplaced genomic scaffold EL1_03_scaffold_487, whole genome shotgun sequence.